rnacentral:rRNA from 1 species
ACAGCAGUAGCCGCGGUAAUACGUAGGUCCCGAGCGUUGUCCGGAUUUAUUGGGCGUAAAGCGAGCGCAGGCGGUUAGAUAAGUCUGAAGUUAAAGGCUGUGGCUUAAUCAUAGUACGCUUUGGAAACUGUUUAACUUGAGUGCAAGAGGGGAGAGUGGAAUUCCAUGUGUAGCGGUGAAAUGCGUAGAUAUAUGGAGGAACACCGGUGGCGAAAGCGGCUCUCUGGCUUGUAACUGACGCCGAGGCUCGAAAGCGUGGGGAGCAAACAGGAUUAGAUACCCCAGUAGUCCCUGUCUCUUAUACC